UCUGUCUGCUCGCAAUGACACGACCGUGCCUUGCAUGAGGUUCACGAAAAAGAUGAAAAGGUCAAAAGAAAACUCGAUCAACCUGGAUAAAUUCCCUAAAUGACGCGCACGAGACUCAGUGAUGGGACCUGAGACGCGCAUGAUGGGACAAACCCUAAAAAAAGGACUCACCUGGACAUCACAUGCUGAAUAUGACCUUGUGGAUGUGACUGUGUUUUGGGUUAAAUGACUAAACCAAGGUGUGUCUGAGGAUUGACCGGAUCAAUGUUUAACCAAGUGUUAGACUCUUACUAUAAAGGAGUGUUCUGUGCUUGGAGUCAUUAAAGGGAUCUCCAAAAUGAUGAUUCCACCACCAUGCUUUAUCGUGAAAAUGGUAUUCUCAGACGAAACAACUCCAGGUCACCAGCAAGAGCAUUUCCUGUCUGCCAGAUUCCUGACUUUGACAAGUAGGAAAACAGGACGUCUGGGUAGUGAGGCAUCUGUAAACAUCAUCUGACUGGAAGCUGGAUCGGUACAGAGAGCUUUCAGUCGGAUGUUUGCAGUUGCAGGCUGCCACAUUACAACACAU